AUUGAACGCUGGCGGCAUGCUUUACACAUGCAAGUCGAACGGUAACAGGCCGCAAGGUGCUGACGAGUGGCGAACGGGUGAGUAAUGCAUCGGAACGUGCCCAGUCGUGGGGGAUAACGCAGCGAAAGCUGCGCUAAUACCGCAUACGAUCUAUGGAUGAAAGCGGGGGACCGUAAGGCCUCGCGCGAUUGGAGCGGCCGAUGUCAGAUUAGGUAGUUGGUGGGGUAAAGGCUCACCAAGCCAACGAUCUGUAGCUGGUCUGAGAGGACGACCAGCCACACUGGGACUGAGACACGGCCCAGACGCCUACGGGAGGCAGCAGGGGGGAAUUUUGGACAAUGGGCGCAAGCCUGAUCCAGCAAUGCCGCGUGCAGGAGGAAGGCCUUCGGGUUGUAAACUGCUUUUGUACGGAACGAAACGGUCCUGGUUAAUACCUGGGGCUAAUGACGGUACCGUAAGAAUAAGCACCGGCUAACUACGUGCCAGCAGCCGCCGUAACAC
rnacentral:rRNA from 1 species